GCGGAUCUCGAAAGCCUGUCCCAGUUCGGACUGGAGUCUGCAACCCGACUCCACGAAGUUGGAUUCGCUAGUAAUCGCGCAUCAGCCAUGGCGCGGUGAAUACGUUCCCGGGCCUUGUACACACCGCCCGUCAAGCCAUGGGAGCCGGGGGCGCCUGAAGUCCGGGACCGCGAGGACCGGCCUAGGGCGAAACUGGUAACUGGGGCUAAGUCGUAACAAGGUACC
rnacentral:rRNA from 1 species